UCCAGGGAGAGCACGCGCUCUCAACUAAAGCGCUAAGUAUAUAAAAGAAAACUAGGUUAAAUGUAUCAUAUAGACAGUUUGUAUCCGUAUCUGAUAGCAAAGAAAUGACAUAACCUUAUCGCAAGGUUAAAUAAAUAAAAUGUGCGCACUUUGAAGAUGGACAAGCGGCUCACGUGGCAGCAGCGUGGGUAGGCCUUGGAUCUGGACCCACGUGAAUUUCAGAGAUAACAUGGUGAUGGCUUAUCAAAAGGAAGGCGACUGGUUGUGAAUUUAAAUAUUGUAUCUAUAUAAUAAACAUUUAUAUCCAUACCUUGGUCUGAUUGUUUUUCUUUUCAACCUUUGCACUAAAUGAUCUGGAAUGGUCUGUUUCUUUGCCAUUUCCGCAGGUCAAAAUGAGUGCUAGAUUAAAUAAAGUCCUGUCAUAACUGGAGUUUCUUGGCAUUUUUCUACCAAGAUGCUCUUUUAAAGCAUGACACAAAUGGCUGUA